rnacentral:rRNA from 1 species
AUUGAACGCUGGCGGCAGGCUUAACGCAUGCAAGUCGAGCGGAGUGAUGGUGCUUGCACUAUCACUUAGCGGCGGACGGGUGAGUAAUGCUUAGGAAUCUGCCAUUUAGUGGGGGACAACAUUCCGAAAGGAAUGCUAAUACCGCAUACGUCCUACGGGAGAAAGCAGGGGAUCUUCGGACCUUGCGCUAAAUGAUGAGCCUAAGUCGGAUUAUCUAGUUGGUGGGGUAAAGGCCUACCAAGGCGACGAUCUGUAGCGGGUCUGAGAGGAUGAUCCGCCACACUGGGACUGAGACACGGCCCAGACUCCUACGGGAGGCAGCAGUGGGGAAUAUUGGACAAUGGGCGGAAGCCUGAUCCAGCCAUGCCGCGUGUGUGAAGAAGGCCUUUUGGUUGUAAAGCACUUUAAGCGAGGAGGAGGCUCUCCUAGUUAAUACCUAGAGAUAGUGGACGUUACUCGCAGAAUAAGCACCGGCUAACUCUGUGCCAGCCGCCGCCGUAAGAC